CCUACGGGAGGCUGCAGUGAGGAAUAUUGGUCAAUGGGCGGGAGCCUGAACCAGCCAAGUCGCGUGAGGGAAGACGGUCCUAUGGAUUGUAAACCUCUUUAGGCGGGGAGCAAUGCCGGGCACGCGUGCCCGGAGGGAUAGUACCCGCAGAAUAAGCAUCGGCAAACUCCGUGCCAGCAGCCGCGGUAAUACGGAGGAGGCGAGCGUUAUCUGGUUUUAUUGGGUUAAAGGGGUGCGAAGGCGGAUUUUUAAGUCAGCGGUAAAAUGUCCGGGCUCAACCCGGGCCGGCCGUUGAAACUGGGGAUCUUGAGUGGGCGAGAGGUAUGCGGAAUGCGUGGUGUAGCGGUGAAAUGCAUAGAGAUCACGAAGAACUCCGAUUGCGAAGGCAGCAUACCGGAGCACGACUGACGCUGAGGCACGAAAGCGUGGGGAUCGAACAGGAUUAGAUACCCGAGUAGUC
rnacentral:rRNA from 1 species